rnacentral:lncRNA from 1 species
AUGGCUUGUAGCAGCAUAACCCCAGUCUCUGCCUCCAUCUUCACAUGGCAUCUUCUUCGUGUGUGUGUGUGUGUGUGUGUGUGUUUAUUUUUUGAGAUGGAGUUUCGCUUGUCGCCCAGGUUGGAGUGCUUUGGCGUGAUCUCGGCUCACUGCAACCUCCACCUCCCAGUUCCAGUGAUUCUCCUGCCUCAGCCUCUCGAGUAGCUGGGAUUCCAGGCGCGCACCACCACAGUCGACUAAUUUUUUGUAUUUUUAUUAGAGACGGGGUUUCACCAUGGCCAAGCUGGUCUUGAACUCCUGACCUCAGGUGAUCCUCCCGCCUUGGCCUCCCAGAGUGCUGGGAUUACAGGCGUGAGCCACUGCGCCCGGCCGCAAAUAAUUAUUUUUUAUUGAGGGUUCUUUCUCCUAUUUUUUAUAACUGUGGGCCUAGAUCCUUUGGUUCAUUCACUCUAUAUCCAUUCUGUGCCUUCCUGUUCUCCAGUCUUCAAGCAUAUACAUAGACAUACUCACAAAUUCAGCAGAUAGUGAAAAACCACAAGAUGAUUUUCAGAUGACAUACGUUUUUCCCACUUUUAAACAUAACAUGAUUCUAUGUGGAAACAAUUUUUAAGUUAAUUUUUUGCACAGUAAUUAUUUUUGUUCAGUGUACGAUAAUGACAUAUUUAAGUGAUCAUCUAAAAAUAGCAAUUUUUGUGAAAAUGCCACAGCAGGCUAUGAGGCCCUAAUCUUAUUUUAUGAAGGCAGAGAGUUUCCUUUACUAAGAGGGUAGGCAAACUGGUUUUCUGUUUUUGCUUACCUGCAGGACAAAACAAUGCAUGAAUCACUUCCUCUAUAAGAAAGUGACGGUAGCCUAGGAGCUCAUUAUCCAAACUAUUUGCCAGCUGCACUCUGCCAGUCCCAUUUCCUCAGGACGUCUGUCCUUCAGCACUUCCAGCUCCUUCUGGGACAGUCGUCAGCAGCCUCUAGUUUCCUCACAGGCCAGGUGCUGUGAUAAUUGUGGUGGUAGUGGGCUGAGCCUAUAUGACUUUCUCUCUCUCUCUCUCUCUCUCUCUCUCUCUCUCUAUAUAUAUAUAUAUAUAUAUAUAUUUUUUUUUUUUUUAACUUUCUUUUGAGCCGGAAUCUGGCUGUGUCUCCCAGGCCGUGCAGUGGCGCGAUCUCGGCUCACUGCAAGCUCCGCCCCCUGGAGUUUCACGCCAUUCUCUCCGCCUCAGCCUCCCAAG